rnacentral:sRNA from 1 species
UUUUACUCUCUCUCUU